AAKCGGRGGGCASUAGGUGGGGGGGGGCRUUCCWCGUUUUCCGCGCCGUAGCUAACGCAUUAAGUGCCCCGCCUGGGGAGUACGGCCGCAAGGCUAAAACUCAAAGGAAUKGACGGGGGCCCGCACAAGCGGCGGAGCAUGCGGAUUAAUUYGAUGCAACGCGAAGAACCUUACCAAGGCUUGACAUGUGCCAGMCCGCCGUGGAAACACGGUUUCCCCUUUGGGGCUGGUUCACAGGUGGUGCAUGGUUGUCGUCAGCUCGUGUCGUGAGAUGUUGGGUUAAGUCCCGCAACGAGCGCAACCCUCGUUCCAUGUUGCCAGCGCGUAAAGGCGGGGACUCAUGGGAGACUGCCGGGGUCAACUCGGAGGAAGGUGGGGACGACGUCAAAUCAUCAUGCCCCUUAUGUCUUGGGCUUCACGCAUGCUACAAUGGCCGGUACAAUGGGUUGCGAUACUGUGAGGUGGAGCUAAUCCCAAAAAGCCGGUCUCAGUUCGGAUUGGGGUCUGCAACUCGACCCCAUGAAGUCGGAGUCGCUAGUAAUCGCAGAUCAGCAACGCUGCGGUGAAUASGUUCCCGGGCCUUGUACACACCGCCCGUCAAGUCACRAAAGKUGGUAACACCCGAAGCCGGUGGCCUAACCCCUUGUGGGAGGGAGCCGUCGAAGKGGAGCCSGGSU
rnacentral:rRNA from 1 species